rnacentral:tRNA from 1 species
AGGGCUGAAUCGCGUGUUGCUAACACGCCACCACCAGG